AUUGAACGCUGGCGGCAUGCCUUACACAUGCAAGUCGAACGGUAACAGGUUAAGCUGACGAGUGGCGAACGGGCGAGUAAUGUAUCGGAACGUGCCCAGUCGCGGGGGUUAACUGCUCGAAAGAGCAGCUAAUACCGCAUACGACCUGAGGGUGAAAGCGGGGGCUCGCAAGUCCUCGCUCGAUUGGAGCGGCCGUUAUCCGAUUAGGUAGUUGGUGAGGUAAUGGCUCACCAAGCCGACGAUCUGUAGCUGGUCUGAGAGGACGACCAGCCACACUGGAACUGAGACACGGCCCAGACUCCUACGGGAGGCAGCAGUGGGGAAUUUUGGACAAUGGGCGCAAGCCUGAUCCAGCCAUGCCGCGUGCGGGAAGAAGGCCUUCGGGUUGUAAAACGCUUUUGUCAGGGAAGAAAAGGUUCUGGCUAAUACCUGGGACUCAUGACGGUACCUGAAGAAUAAGCACCGGCUAACUACGUG
rnacentral:rRNA from 1 species